UAUUUACUACGGGUUUCUAUCAAUUUCUAAGUGCAUAUUUCAACUCUUAUAAAUUUGUUUAUAAUUUUGUAAUGAUCACAGUUUCUCUAGUACUUUUGUAGAUUGAGUUUAUUAUUCUAUCUAAAAUAUAUCAAUUCAGUAAUGAAUUGAAAAGACACCUUCCAACGAGUAUAGAACCAGGCGUCAUGUUCACUUAAGCCCUAAAAGGAACGUAAGCGUGAAAUAUCACCGGUCACCUCCUGUAUAUUUCCUGUAAAAUCGGUUACUUGUAUGCAUAUGUCAGAGAAGCGUCAGUAAUAGAGUUGUGGGCAUUUGCUAGACCUCCCUUGGAGUUGGCCAGGGUCGUGUUAUAACGAAGAUACGGCCUGAUACAACGGGUAUGAACACUACCGAUUCGACAAUCAACAGCGGCGAUUAGGCCCUCGCGACACUAGUGAUAGUGGUCUUAGGUUCGAUAACGAAUCCACGGUCAACGGAAGGAUGGAUAUGCUUGCUCUAACUCAAACGCGUACUGAUCGUAAGGCACUAUUCCCUUCCUCGAUGAGGUCUCAGUCAGGAAUGCCUCUUCGUCCCAACGACGCCACCGAGAUAAACUCUGGUGGGGUGUUUAAGUACCCAAGAUCCUCGGAUCGACGUCGCUGUCGAUUGGUCAAUUUGGGACAGAAGCUGCCUGUCCGUUUGCAAAACAUCUUAAUUGCCGAAAAACCCAGGUUUUAUAGCGGGUCCUCGGGCUACCGGGACUUGUGCUGUGUACGUGUCUCAACCUCAGACGGAGCGCCCGUCCCGUUGACCGCGGCUACGUUGGGCGACAGGUUGUCGCCCCGAGCCAAAGCUCACCGUCACUAAUCCCGGACGGUUACCGGUAUCGGCUUGGAUGACUGCGAUUGUUUCAUUACGGCUAUAGUAGACUCUAGAUUACAAUGUUAGGAGGUUAUCCUGAAGUUCCAGAGGGGCCCCGGCGUCCUUCCGUCUCCGACACAUAUAAGUAGCUGUGUUAUGUAUUUUCUAGUUUUUUUUUUUUUAUUUAGUUGUUUACAUUCACAAUUUGUCCGAUUUGGUAGAAUUUUUUGGCUGCAUUUUCUAGUUGUAUAUACCAGAGAGAACGGAAUUUAUAUGUGUAUGUAUGCGUGUAUGUGCGCAAAGAAUUUUUUCAAGAAAAUAAAAUUUUUUUUCUCAUAAAGGAUCAAGACAAAGAAGAAAAGUGCACUUUUAACCAAUUAGCGUCCAUAAAACAAUCUUCAAGAAAAGCGAAGAAGAUAAAAUUUAGUGAAGUAAAAAAUAAAAAAAAAGGUAAUAUUAUUGUGCCCUUGAAUAUAAAUGUCGCUUGGGUUACAAUAUUCAGUAUUGCUGCGAAAAUAAUUUACACCUUAGACAGUUUGACGUUAAAACCGUAUUCUUAUAUGGAAAUCCGAAAGAAGACAUCUAUAUGAAACAACCGGAGGGUUUUGAUGAUAGUACGAAUCACGUUUGUAAGUUGAUAAAAAGCCUAUAUAGUUUAAAGCAGUCUCCGAGAUGUAGGACGGAGCGUUUGAAAAAAUCCAUUUCAAAUUUAAGAUUUUAUCAGAGUAGCACAGAUCCUUGUUUUUAUAUCUUCGUAAUUAAACAA